CCAGCUCCCACAGCUCUCUGGGACUCGUUCAAGCCAGGACAGCUACUCCUCUGCUUACAUUAGGACUAUGUUUGAAACUCAGUUUUUUCAGAAUACAGGACUGAAGAAGCCCCCAUGCAAGAGUGCUGAGCCCACGAGCAAUUCCUGGAGAUUAGCAGCUUGUGCUCACUGCCCCCUGGUGGAUACUCACGGGACUACAGGUAGCACAU
rnacentral:lncRNA from 1 species